AUAAGCAGUAUCUGACCUUGCCAUGACCGGAAAAUAAAAAAUCAUUGCUCAAAAGUGAAAGUAAAAAAUUCGAAGGCCAAUAUUUUGCAGAAAGAAGGCAGAUUCACUUGAAAUUUAGCUUUUAAUAAAUCAAUUAUUGUGUUUUUUAAUAAAUUCUAACCAUUUGAAUCAGGUAUAUGCGCGUGAAAUAAUAUAUAUUUAUUUAUUUCCAACACCACUAUUCCUGUGCAGUAGAGUUACUCCCCUUUACGCGGAAUUAUUACAUUGUUGUUACGGUGAAUUCGGGAGCGAUCUUUUGAGCAGUUUUACGGAUAUCGGUACGAUAAACACAGUAUUUGUUUGGCAGGAAGAGAAAUCGUCUCAUUUGGUAUCGUUGCAGAGAACAUGACUGACAAAGAUCUAUUGGACAGUGAUUAUGAUGGGAUUUCACAAAUACAUGAGCACAGUUACAUUGUGAUAUCGGACUCUGACGAGACACAACCACCUUCACCUUUUGGUUGACAGGAAUAUUCCAGUGAAAGAUCAGUUGUUCAACAGCCUUUUUGACAAACAAAUUCCUGGUGCUGCCAUUCCUAAUCAACCGACAUAUCAGAAUUUUGGAUAAGAAUUCAGAUUACUGGCUGCAUAUUCAACCGUAAGUGUUUUUCCUGUUCAAUUUAACUGCUAAUUCAUAAAUAAAACUUUGUUUAAGAGAAAUAAUAUUACUUAGAAAAUGUUCUUAAAUACCAGGUUGUAUCACAUUUGUAUUGGGUGGGUGGGGCAGUUGUACAUGUUUUGGAUAAUGUUUUUUUUUUAAAUACUAACCAAAUAAGUUUUUGUUUUUUGAACAUUUAUUCUUGUUUUGUUGUACAUUAUUUCAACUGUGAUAUUGAAUCACAUGCACAUUUGCAAUUUAGAAAAAUCAA